AUGGCCAUCCCGCUCCAGGCGAAGAAGCAGCAGGAGAACGGAAGCAAGGGCGGCCAAGGCAGCCACGUGGACGGCGGCGACGACAACCCUUCGGCGGCGGAGGAGCUGCGGGAGCUGUGGCGCAUGGCGGCGCCGAUCACAGCGCUCAACUGCGUGGUGUACCUGCGCGCCAUGGUGUCCGUGCUCUGCCUGGGCCGCCUCGGCCCGCUUGACCUCGCCGGCGGCGCGCUCGCGAUCGGGCUCACCAACAUCACUGGCCACAGUGUGCUCUUCGGCCUCGCGUCCGGGUUGGAGCCGCUCUGCGCGCAGGCCUACGGCUCCCGCAACUACGACCUGCUCACGCUCUCCCUCCACCGCGCCGUGCUGCUGCUCGCCAUCGCCGCCGUCCCCAUCGCGCUGCUCUGGCUCAACGUCGGCCCCAUCCUGGUCGCGCUCGGCCAGGACCCAGCCAUCUCCGCCUCCGCCGCCGCAUACGCCGCGUGGGCGCUCCCGGACCUCGCCGCGCUGGCCGUGCUCCAGCCGCUCCGCGUCUACCUUAGGUCCCAGGGCAUCACCAAGCCCAUGGCCGCCUGCUCCGCCGCCGCCGUCGCGCUGCACAUCCCGCUCAACUUUCUCCUCGUCUUCCGCAUGGGCUUCGGCGUGCGCGGCGUCGCGGCAGCGCAGGCGCUCACAAACACAAACAUGGUGCUCUUCCUGCUCGCCUACGUCCGCUGGGCGGGUGCGUGCGACGACACGUGGAGGGGCUUCGCGCGGCCCGCCGCCGUAGCCAGCGGGCUCGGCGGCCUCGUCCGCCUCGCCGUGCCCAGCUGCAUCGGCGUCUGCCUCGAGUGGUGGUGGUACGAGGUCGUCACCGUGCUCGCCGGCUACCUUGCCAACCCCACCGCCGCCGUCGGCGCCGCGGGAGUCCUCAUCCAGACAACCAGCCUGAUGUACACCGUGCCCAUGGCGCUCGCCGCCUGCGUCUCCACCCGGGUGGGCAACGAGCUCGGCGCCGGGAAGCCGCGGCGUGCGCGGAUGGCGGCGACGGUGGCGCUGUGGUGCGCAGCGGGCGUGGGCCUCGCGCACGUGGCGUGGACGGCGGCCUUCAGCGCGCAGUGGGUGUCGCUCUUCACCCGGGAGCCGUCGGUGGUGCUGCUGGCGUCGGCGGCGAUGCCGCUGCUGGGGCUGUGCGAGCUGGGCAACUGCCCGCAGACCACGGGGUGCGGCGUGCUGCGCGGCACGGCCAGGCCCGCCGUGGGCGCCCGCAUCAACCUGCUCUCCUUCUACCUCGUCGGCACGCCCGUGGCGGUGCUGCUGGCGUUCGGGCACGGGCCGCUGUCCGGGUUCCGCGGGCUGUGGUACGGGCUGCUGUCCGCGCAGGCCGCCUGCGUGGCUCUGGUGCUGGUCGCCGUCGUGUGGCGCACCGACUGGCGCGUCGAGGCCAUGCGCGCGCGGAAGCUGACCGGCACCGGCGCGGACACGACGGCGACGGCCACCGAGGGGGAGGAGCAGGAGGAGAUGAGGCGCCUCGUGGCCGGCAACGGCCUGGAGGCGGACGUCGACGUGUAG
rnacentral:rRNA from 1 species